rnacentral:rRNA from 1 species
UACGUAGGGGGCAAGCGUUGUCCGGAAUCAUUGGGCGUAAAGGGCGCGUAGGCGGCCCGCUAAGUCGAACGUGAAAUCCCCAGGCUCAACCUGGGAACUGCGUCCGAUACUGGCAGGCUUGAAUCCGGGAGAGGGAUGUGGAAUUCCAGGUGUAGCGGUGAAAUGCGUAGAUAUCUGGAGGAACACCGGUGGCGAAGGCGGCAUCCUGGACCGGUAUUGACGCUGAGGCGCGAAAGCUAGGGGAGCAAACGGG